GAUGAACGCUGGCGGCGUGCCUAAUACAUGCAAGUCGAGCGAACAGACGAGGAGCUUGCUCCUCUGACGUUAGCGGCGGACGGGUGAGUAACACGUGGAUAACCUACCUAUAAGACUGGGAUAACUUCGGGAAACCGGAGCUAAUACCGGAUAAUAUAUUGAACCGCAUGGUUCAAUAGUGAAAGACGGUUUUGCUGUCACUUAUAGCUGGAUCCGCGCCGCAUUAGCUAGUUGGUAAGGUAACGGCUUACCAAGGCAACGAUGCGUAGCCGACCUGAGAGGGUGAUCGGCCACACUGGAACUGAGACACGGUCCAGACUCCUACGGGAGGCAGCAGUAGGGAAUCUUACGCAAUGGGCGAAAGCCUGACGGAGCAACGCCGCGUGAGUGAUGAAGGUCUUCGGAUCGUAAAACUCUGUUAUUAGGGAAGAACAAAUGUGUAAGUAACUAUGCACGUCUUGACGGUACCUAAUCAGAAAGCCACGGCUAACUACGUG
rnacentral:rRNA from 1 species